rnacentral:tRNA from 1 species
GCAGUUGUGGCGGAAUUGGUAUACGCGCUAGACUAAGGAUCUAGUGGCUCUAAGCCUUGCAGGUUCAAGUCCUGUCAACUGCA